ensembl:lncRNA
CGUCUCUGCUGCUUCCUGCUGAGGUAAAGUGGCUCCCUUCUCCAAGACAUGCUCCUGCUCCAGUCGCUGCUUACUGUGGCCAGAACCACAGGAGCGGGAAGUCCGGCCUGAAUCCUCUGAAACCAUGAGCCAGAGCAGCCCUUCUUCUUUCACAGCCAGUCAAUGUGACCAAGAGCAUGGAAUGUGCUGAAUACCCAGGCCUGGUCAUCUGGUCACCCCUUGAGCAAGAGGCUGGACCCGUUACACCAAGCACAUGGACUGCAGGUUUCGAUGAUCUGGGUGAUUCUUCAGCAGACCUAGAGGUGGACAUCAGGAACACCUGGUCCAGACCGCCAUCCUUGCUCACUUGGAUCAUGGGACUCCUGACUUGUCUCCUCCCUCCAGUCCCACCCACCAUGGUCCACUGCUGCACCAGCAGCCAGGGUUGUUAUUCUGCACUGUGGCCAGGACUGGCCCUGCUGCGCUGGGGAGCCAGAAGUGCUGUUCAAACAUCUCAGUGAGUGGUCUGAUGCCCAGCAGCAGAAAUGUGUGGGUCACAGAAGAGAGACAAGAUUGGGAGUGGACUUGGAUGUGAGGGCAAUCUGGCUGUGACAUCUGUCACCCCAUUGCUCACCAGGAUUGAUUUGGCUGAUGGGUGUCCCCUUCCUCCCCCACUGCUCCAUAUGCAUCCCUCCCAAAGCUGUACACUUGGUCCAAGAGGACAACCAUCCACAAUAGAGGACUGUUUCCUUGGUCAAGGGUAUACAGUAGCUGUGCUUCUCUGCUAGGACCUCCAAACAAGCUCCCAAGAUUGGAAGUGG